rnacentral:rRNA from 1 species
AGGAUUAACGCUGGCGGCGUGCCUAACACAUGCAAGUCGAACGAGGUGGCAAUACCUAGUGGCAGACGGGUGAGUAACGCGUGGUCAACCUACCGUUGAGUGGGGGAUAACUAGCCGAAAGGUUAGCUAAUACCGCAUACGUGUCCGAGGGGCAUCCCUUGGCCAUAAAAGGAGCAAUCCGCUCGAUGACGGGACCGCGUCCCAUUAGCUAGAUGGUGGGGUAACGGCCUACCAUGGCACCGAUGGGUAGCUGGUUUGAGAGAGCGACCAGCCACACUGGGACUGAGAAACGGCCCAGACUCCUACGGGAGGCAGCAGUGAGGAAUUUUCCGCAAUGGGCGCAAGCCUGACGGAGCGACGCCGCGUGUGGGAAGAAGGCCUUGGGUCGUAAACCACUGUCGAAGGGACGAUAAUGACGGUACCCUUGGAGGAAGCCCCGGCUAACUACGUGCCAGCAGCCGC